rnacentral:rRNA from 1 species
GUUUGAUCAUGGCUCAGGAUGAACGCUGGCGGCGUGCUUAACACAUGCAAGUCGAACGAGUCCUUCGGGCUAGUGGCGGAUCGGGUGAGUAACGCGUGGGAAUCUGCCCUCAGGAGGGGGAUAACGGCCGGAAACGGCCGCUAAUACCCCAUAUGCCGAGAGGUGAAAUGAAUUUCGCCUGAGGAUGAGCCCGCGUCUGAUUAGCUAGUUGGUGGGGUAAUGGCCCACCAAGGCGACGAUCAGUAGCUGGUCUGAGAGGAUGAUCAGCCACACUGGGACUGAGACACGGCCCAGACUCCUACGGGAGGCAGCAGUGGGGAAUUUUCCGCAAUGGGCGAAAGCCUGACGGAGCAACGCCGCGUGAGGGAUGAAGGCCUCUGGGCUGUAAACCUCUUUUCUCAAGGAAGAAGACAUGACGGUACUUGAGGAAUAAGCCACGGCUAAUUCCGUGCCAGCAGCCGCGGUAAUACGGGAGUGGCAAGCGUUAUCCGGAAUUAUUGGGCGUAAAGCGUCCGCAGGCGGCCUUGUAAGUCUGUCGUUAAAGCGUGGAGCUUAACUCCAUUUCAGCGAUGGAAACUACAAGGCUUGAGUGUGGUAGGGGCAGAGGGAAUUCCCGGUGUAGCGGUGAAAUGCGUAGAUAUCGGGAAGAACACCAGUGGCGAAGGCGCUCUGCUGGGCCAUAACUGACGCUCAUGGACGAAAGCCAGGGGAGCGAAAGGGAUUAGAUACCCCUGUAGUCCUGGCCGUAAACGAUGAACACUAGGUGUCGGGGGAAUMGACCCCCUCGGUGUCGUAGCUAACGCGUUAAGUGUUCCGCCUGGGGAGUACGCACGCAAGUGUGAAACUCAAAGGAAUUGACGGGGGCCCGCACAAGCGGUGGAGUAUGUGGUUUAAUUCGAUGCAACGCGAAGAACCUUACCAGGGUUUGACAUCCUGCGAAUCCCUUGGAAACGARGGAGUGCCUUCGGGAGCCGCAGAGACAGGUGGUGCAUGGCUGUCGUCAGCUCGUGUCGUGAGAUGUUGGGUUAAGUCCCGCAACGAGCGCAACCCACGUCUUUAGUUGCCAGCAUUUCAGUUGGGCACUCUAGAGAGACCGCCGGUGAUAAACCGGAGGAAGGKGUGGAUGACGUCAAGUCAUCAUGCCCCUUACAUCCUGGGCUACACACGUACUACAAUGCUACGGACAAAGGGUUGCAAGCUCGCGAGAGUUAGCUAAUCCCAUAAACCGUGGCUCAGUUCAGAUCGUAGGCUGCAACUCGCCUACGUGAAGGAGGAAUCGCUAGUAAUCGCAGGUCAGCAUACUGCGGUGAAUACGUUCCCGGGCCUUGUACACACCGCCCGUCACACCAUGGAAGUUGGCCAUGCCCGAAGUCGUUACUCCAACCCUUGUGGAGGAGGACGCCGAAGGUGGGGCUGAUGACUGGGGUGAAGUCGUAACAAGGUAGCCGUACCGGAAGGUGCGGCUGGAUCACCUCCU